GACGAACGCUGGCGGCGUGCUUAACACAUGCAAGUCGAACGGAAAGGCCCUGCUUUUGUGGGGUGCUCGAGUGGCGAACGGGUGAGUAACACGUGAGUAACCUGCCCUUGACUUUGGGAUAACUUCAGGAAACUGGGGCUAAUACCGGAUAGGAGCUCCUGCUGCAUGGUGGGGGUUGGAAAGUUUCGGCGGUUGGGGAUGGACGCGCGGCUUAUCAGCUUGUUGGUGGGGUAGUGGCUUACCAAGGCUUUGACGGGUAGCCGGCCUGAGAGGGUGACCGGCCACAUUGGGCCUGAGAUACGGCCCAGACUCCUACGGGAGGCAGAAGUGGGGAAUAUUGCACAAUGGGCGGAAGCCUGAUGCAGCAACGCCGCGUGCGGGAUGACGGCCUUCGGGUUGUAAACCGCUUUCGCCUGUGACGAAGCGUGAGUGACGGUAAUGGGUAAAGAAGCACCGGCUAACUACGUG
rnacentral:rRNA from 1 species